rnacentral:lncRNA from 12 species
AUGUGGUUCUCUUCCCAGCAGCUCCCUUCCUUGGCCGGUCUGCUUCACGCUGCACAGAUGUUUCUCCUAUUGCUGCUACAUGGCUUUUCUUCUCCAGUCAAAAGUGUUUUUGUCUACAAAACAUCAGAUUUGAAUGACCCAAUAUUUACUACCUGGAACCACCCCCUUGAAAUGAAUUCUACACUUUGUCUCUGUAAUAUCUGUAAUAUCGCCUCCUACUGUUCUGAUGUCAGAAAGCAGAAAGAACGGUAA